UUGCUCGCUUCGGCAGCACAUAUACUAGAGUUGGAACAAUAGAAGAUUAGCAUGGCUCCUGCUCAAGGAUGACACGCAAAUUUGUGAAGCAUUCCAUAUUUUU